CCCGCGGUCAGAUCCACGUCUCCCAGCCCCCUCUGCUCGGCGGCCGGAGAGGUGUGGGGGCUACAGCCGCGAAGCCCGGACCUCCCCUGCCGCCUCCGGAGCCCGGGAUAGACGCGAGGGCGCCCGCAGGGCUCGAGCCUGAUGCCGACCCUCUGCCCGCCGCCCGCAGGCGUCAAACACCCCCUUCCCGCCCAAGUAACCCCGAAAGACAGUCUUCGGCCCAACCCGACCCCCAGCCUCUUUCCGCUGGGUGCUGUCCUCCCCGCGAAAAAAGUGCGGCCGGCGCCCCCACCCCAUCCUGCCCAGGCUCCUCGAACUUUUAAGCACAGUUACUCGAGGGUCUCGGGAGAGGCGUGGAGCUCGGGGCGGGUAUUCGGAGGCUGGAGCGAGCCCCUGGAAGAGGACACUCGAAGUGGUCUCCCCAACCAGGCCCACGUCCGCCGAGGGCCCCGCGGCCUCACCUGGGCUCCCGGAGGCUCUGCGCUCCUCUCCCGCCGCGACUCAGGGGCUCUCUAGCUGCGCCCCCCAGCUCCUGCCCCGCCUGCCGCGCGGCCCCGCCCCGGCUCCAGCCACAGCCCCCUCCCCCGCCGCCUCCCCGCCCGGUGGCCGCCAGCCUCCUCAUGUGACGCGGGAACAGCUGCGGCCUGAGUCACCACGGUCAGCAAAGGGAGGGCCGAGCCCCCCGCCCGGCCAGGGCCACGUGGCCUCUACCCGGAAGCCAGCGCUCGCCCCCCAAAAGGGAAGGCACCCAGGGCAGCACUUCACUGUGCCCGGGUCCCUUGUGGAAGCAGGACGGAGCACCGCCUGGUUCUCUUUCGUUCUUGGAAGCAGAGGAGGCUGGAGGCCACAUGCUUCAUGAUGGAAGGACUAGAUCACUGUAGUACCCAGGAGAGAACACACUGCCAAAGUCCUUAUGUUCUCACUGCAAGGGAAGUGGAACUCAGAGAGAUGAAGCCACUCGUCAGCAGUAACCUGCAGGAGCUGGAAUGUGGCACCUCCUGCUGGCAAGGCUAGGCAAUGCAGUCAGCUGUGACCAUCAACUCCACCAGGGCCUUCAAUAAGGACCUCACCAUUGACCUGAGAGGAAGCAAUCAGUGAGAAAGACAGGGAAGAGGUAGGGAGACCUGAGAAGAGCAAAAGUGGAGAUCUAGAGGUAGCUGAGGCAGG